rnacentral:tRNA from 1 species
GCCUGGGUGGCUCAGUCGGUUGAGCGUCCAGCUUCGGCUUAGGUCAUGAUCUCACAGUUUGUGGGUUCGAGCCCCGCAUCGGGCU